rnacentral:tRNA from 1 species
GAGGGUGUAGCUCAGUGGUAGAGCGCAUACUUAGCAUGCACAGGGUCCUGGGUUCAAUUCCCCAGUACUUCUA